AAAUUAGAGAUCAAGGGUUUAUAAUCUCAAAACAUCUAUUGAAUGUGGGCACAUGAAGGCAAUUCCUAUGUUGCAAUAUGUAAAGGAAAGAAGAUUUUCUUGUGUCGCUUAUCAUGGUCCCUUAAGCUGUUACUUUAAUUGGAGCUUCGAUGCUUUCAAUUCGGUGCAAAACAUAAGAGUCUUCGUUCGAUUCCUUAUCGGCGAGGAUUUCUUACCGGAAUCGGCGCUCAACGGUGGAGGUUGUUGCCGGAAAAACUUGUGAUUACUCAUCAGGCGUGGGACGUGGUUUAACCGGUUGUCGACACGUUUCCAUGGAUGGAGUUUAGAUUGAAAUUCUUCUACAGAAGUCGGUUAUCUAUUUGGUCUUUGUUGGCUAUUUCUGUAAACCUGCUGUUUGGGCUUUUGUUAAAGCCUAUGUAUGAUAUUGUGAAAGCUUAAUAAAUUCUAUCACUUGUGAGAAAAAAAA
rnacentral:sRNA from 1 species